rnacentral:siRNA from 1 species
CUCUGCCAUACAUUCUCUUGAGAG